CAAGGGGAGUCAGACGGAGGCAAGAGUCUGUGCCCAGAGGGCCUUGUGGUCACGCUAAGUGCUGAACACUCCAGGAUGGGGGUGAGGGAGGAGGCGUCAGGCGGUUUAAAGUGAUGCUGACACAUCAGAUCCCCCAGCAGCUCCUGGAGGGAGGGUUGGAGAGGACGAGGCUGCACACAGGGUAUCAUUCAUUCAGUGAAUACUGCUUGUGAGCAAAUGUUGCCAGGAG
rnacentral:lncRNA from 1 species